AAUAUCACUUUAGAAGAUUCACAUUAGUAAACACUAAUGGACCCAUUCAUUGAGUUCACAAAAGUUAAACAUUUCAUAAUCAAUGAAUCGUAGCUUAUUAAGACUUGCAGCUCAAACCAACCAUUAGCAUGUUCAGAUUAAAUAUUAAUCGCAAAACAGUUGGGAAUUUUUAUUAAACGGCAAAGAGCAUAAAGCUUUCGUUUCUCUUGCUUCCUUGAGAGAAAAAAAACAGUCCUAAUAUCCUUAUUAUCUUUUUAAUUUAGGUGUAAUUGCUGUUUUGGGAUCACAGAGUCUGUUAUUGACACACUGAGCACUGGAGCUUGAAAUAGCAGUCUUAAUCAUGCAAGUCGCUGAAGGAGGCUCCCACUAGGUAAAGCGCUCUAAACGGGCGAUCCGUUCAUGAAGAUAUACGGAGAGCUGGCAGGUAGACUAUUUGUUUCCAUAAUCUUGAAAACCGUGUGAAAAGUUGAACAAGUUGGGAAUUCUGCACAUCCGAGCUUUCACCUGUUAUCUUAUCUCCUCCUCCUCCUCCUCGUCGUUGGGACUCGAGCAGCUUCCCUGGGAAGGUUAACGUCUUCAAAAAGGAGAAAAAGGAAGACAUUUUGUUUCUAGAGCAAAGAGGCAAAGGAUUCCAAGAUGAACGCUACCGGGAAUGCUGAACACCAGGGACUGCACCGGGAACGCUGAACACCAGGGACUGCACCGGGAACACUAACACUGAACACCAGGGACUGAAUCGCGCUACAGAGCUAAUCUCUUUGAAGAUGGACGUUCCCCCGAGAUGAAGACGGUGCGGGCCCACAGGGGAGCCUCUGCAGCCCCUGAUGGGCUACAACUGCCCCCAUCAGUGGGUGGAGUGAGGGGUACUCCAGCCCCAAAAACAUACUUUGAGCAGAGCUCUCCUGCACGUCCGUAACUUCAGCGAUGUAUAACUUGAAAGAAGAGGAUAAUUACACCUGAUGGGACAUGCAGCUGAGCCUCCUUUCAGACAUACACACACACACACAUUCACGCUCACACUCAUACACACACACACACACACGUGCUUACAC